UGGGGAAUUUUGGACAAUGGGGGCAACCCUGAUCCAGCAACGAUGCGUGGAGGACGAAGGUUUUCGGAUUGUAAACUCCUUUUGAGAGGGAAGAAAAAAAUGACGGUACCUCUCGAAUAAGCCACGGCUAACUACGUGCCAGCAGCCGCGGUAAUACGGGGGGUGCAAGCGUUGUCCGGAAUCAUUGGGCGUAAAGCGUUCGUAGGCGGUAUGUCAAGUCUGGUGUUAAAGCCCGAGGCUCAACCUCGGUUCGGCAUUGGAUACUGGCAAACUAGAAUGUGGUAGAGGUAAAGGGAAUUCCUGGUGUAGCGGUGAAAUGCGUAGAUAUCAGGAGGAACAUCGGUGGCGAAAGCGCUUUACUGGACCAUUAUUGACGCUGAGGAACGAAAGCCAGGGGAGCAAAUG
rnacentral:rRNA from 1 species